rnacentral:rRNA from 1 species
UACGUAGGGGGCUAGCGUUGUCCGGAAUCAUUGGGCGUAAAGCGCGCGUAGGCGGUCAGGAAAGUCCGGUGUGAAAGUCAUAGGCCCAACCUAUGGAUGCCGCUGGAAACUGCCUGACUUGAGUCCGGAAGGGGCGAGUGGAAUUCCUGGUGUAGCGGUGAAAUGCGCAGAUAUCAGGAAGAACACCAAUGGCGAAGGCAGCUCUCUGGGACGGUACUGACGCUGAGACGCGAAAGCGUGGGGAGCGAACAGG